rnacentral:misc_RNA from 1 species
GGAGAAGAAAAAUCAUACCUUCGAGCUUCCGAGAUUUUGUUACCGAAAUGGUCCCUUUCGGUAACCAGCGUAAUCGAGUGGAGUACCAGUGAUCAUGAAUACCAGCAUCUUAAAGGUGAACAUAGGACGUAUAAGCCUUACCAAAAUGAGAUAUUCAACGAUUGCUUUUGCAUUUAUUGCUGGAUCCCAAAAUACUGAACCAGAAAAAUUUAUUCGACCUUCAGUGAAAGUGAAAAACAACAUGAAACACACACAGUGGUUGAGAUUACUGAAAUAUACACCGAUAUGUUUUGCACACGACACUAAAAUUGCAUCCGAUCAUCUCAACCACUCCACCUCAACCCGAACACAAAUUGAAUCUUCUGCUACCGAGAACAACAUUGAACAAUUUCGUGAUAAUCAAGGGUACUUGGGAUUUAUUUGGAAAAAUGCCACCAAAAUUCGGAGGACAGAUUGAGAAGUGCGGAGUCUGCACAAAGUCCGUAUACGCUGCAGAGAGGAUCGAGGCCGGAAAGAUUCCAUUCCAUAAGUCAUGUUUUAAAUGUAAAGAAUGCAACCUCACACUCAACCUGAACAACUAUAGACAGAGUGAGGGAAUCCUUUUCUGCAAGCUUCACUUCCAGCAGCAAGUGACGGGAAA